GACGAACGCUGGCGGCGUGCUUAACACAUGCAAGUCGAACGGAAAGGCCCUGCUUUUGUGGGGUGCUCGAGUGGCGAACGGGUGAGUAACACGUGAGUAACCUGCCCUUGACUUUGGGAUAACUUCAGGAAACUGGGGCUAAUACCGGAUAGGAGCUCCUGCUGCAUGGUGGGGGUUGGAAAGUUUCGGCGGUGUGGGAUGGACUCGCGGCUUAUCAGCUUGUUGGUGGGGUAGUGGCUUACCAAGGCUUUGACGGGUAGCCGGCCUGAGAGGGUGACCGGCCACAUUGGGACUGAGAUACGGCCCAGACUCCUACGGGAGGCAGCAGUGGGGAAUAUUGCACAAUGGGCGGAAGCCUGAUGCAGCAACGCCGCGUGCGGGAUGACGGCCUUCGGGUUGUAAACCGCUUUCGCCUGUGACGAAGCGUGAGUGACGGUAAUUGGUUAAGAAGCACCGGCUAACUACGUG
rnacentral:rRNA from 1 species